AGAGUUUGAUUCUGGCUCAGGAUGAACGCUGGCGGCGUGCCUAACACAUGCAAGUCGAGCGAUUCUCUUCGGAGAAGAGCGGCGGACGGGUGAGUAACGCGUGGGUAACCUGCCCUGUACACACGGAUAACAUACCGAAAGGUAUGCUAAUACGGGAUAAUAUGCUUUAGUCGCAUGGCUGAAGUAUCAAAGCUCCGGCGGUACAGGAUGGACCCGCGUCUGAUUAGCUAGUUGGUGAGGUAAUGGCUCACCAAGGCAACGAUCAGUAGCCGACCUGAGAGGGUGAUCGGCCACAUUGGAACUGAGACACGGUCCAAACUCCUACGGGAGGCAGCAGUGGGGAAUAUUGCACAAUGGGCGAAAGCCUGAUGCCAGCAACGCCGCGUGAGCGAUGAAGGCCUUCGGGUCGUAAAGCUCUGUCCUCAAGGAAGAUAAUGACGGUACUUGAGGAGGAAGCCCCGGCUAACUACGUGCCAGCCGCCGC
rnacentral:rRNA from 1 species